rnacentral:tRNA from 1 species
GGCCCGGUGGCAGAGUGGUUAUGCAGCGGUUUGCAAAACCGUGUACAUCGGUUCAAUUCCGGUUCGGGCCUCCA